AGAGCGAACGCUGGCGGCAGGCCUAAUACAUGCAAGUCGAACGGAUCCUUCGGGAUUAGUGGCGGACGGGUGAGUAACACGUGGGAACGUGCCCUUUGGUUCAGAACAACUCAGGGAAACUUGAGCUAAUACUGGAUAAGCCCUUCGGGGGAAAGAUUUAUCGCCAUUGGAGCGGCCCGCGUCUGAUUAGCUAGUUGGUAGGGUAAAGGCCUACCAAGGCUUCGAUCAGUAGCUGGUCUGAGAGGAUGAUCAGCCACACUGGGACUGAGACACGGCCCAGACUCCUACGGGAGGCAGCAGUAGGGAAUCUUGCGCAAUGGGCGAAAGCCUGACGCAGCCAUGCCGCGUGAAUGAUGAAGGUCUUAGGAUUGUAAAAUUCUUUCAGCGGGGACGAUAAUGACGGUACCCGCAGAAGAAGCCCGGCUAACUUCGUGCCAGCAGCCGC
rnacentral:rRNA from 1 species